UACAGAGGGGGCAAGCGUUGUUCGGAAUUAUUGGGCGUAAAGGGCGUGUAGGCGGCUUCGUAAGUCUUGUGUGAAAGCCCUCGGCUCAACCGAGGAAUUGCACGAGAAACUGCGUGGCUCGAGUCCGGGAGAGGAUAGUGGAAUUCCCAGUGUAGCGGUGAAAUGCGUAGAUAUUGGGAGGAACACCGGUGGCGAAGGCGGCUAUCUGGACCGGUACUGACGCUGAUACGCGAAAGCCAGGGGAGCAAACGGG
rnacentral:rRNA from 1 species